rnacentral:rRNA from 1 species
GCAGUCGAACGAUACCAUUUGGCUUGCUGGAUGGGAAAGUGGCGCACGGGUGCGUAACGCGUAUGCAACCUACCUCAAUCAGGGGGAUAGCCCGAAGAAAUUCGGAUUAACACCGCAUAAAAACACAGUACAGCAUUGUACAAUGUUCAAAUAUUUAUAGGAUUGAGAUGGGCAUGCGUGUCAUUAGCUAGUUGGCGGGGUAACGGCCCACCAAGGCGACGAUGACUAGGGGAUCUGAGAGGAUGACCCCCCACACUGGUACUGAGACACGGACCAGACUCCUACGGGAGGCAGCAGUAAGGAAUAUUGGUCAAUGGAGGCAACUCUGAACCAGCCAUGCCGCGUGCAGGAAGACAGCCCUCUGGGUCGUAAACUGCUUUUAUUCGGGAAUAAACCUACUUACGUGUAAGUAGCUGAAUGUACCGAAGGAAUAAGGAUCGGCUAACUCCGUGCCAGCAGCCGCGGUAAUACGGAGGAUCCAAGCGUUAUCCGGAUUUAUUGGGUUUAAAGGGUGCGUAGGCGGCUUAUUAAGUCAGGGGUGAAAGACGGUGGCUCAACCAUCGCAGUGCCCUUGAUACUGAUGAGCUUGAAUGAACUAGAGGUAGGCGGAAUGUGACAAGUAGCGGUGAAAUGCAUAGA